rnacentral:rRNA from 1 species
GAUGAACGCUGGCGGCGUGCCUAAUACAUGCAAGUCGAGCGAACAGACGAGGAGCUUGCUCCUUUGACGUUAGCGGCGGACGGGUGAGUAACACGUGGAUAACCUACCUAUAAGACUGGGAUAACUUCGGGAAACCGGAGCUAAUACCGGAUAAUAUUUUGAACCGCAUGGUUCAAUAGUGAAAGACGGCUUUGCUGUCACUUAUAGAUGGACCCGCGCCGCAUUAGCUAGUUGGUAAGGUAACGGCUUACCAAGGCAACGAUGCGUAGCCGACCUGAGAGGGUGAUCGGCCACACUGGAACUGAGACACGGUCCAGACUCCUACGGGAGGCAGCAGUAGGGAAUCUUCCGCAAUGGGCGAAAGCUUGACGGAGCAACGCCGCGUGAGUGAUGAAGGUCUUCGGAUCGUAAAACUCUGUUAUUAGGGAAGAACAAAUGUGUAAGUAACUAUGCACGUCUUGACGGUACCUAAUCAGAAAGCCACGGCUAACUACGUG